rnacentral:rRNA from 1 species
GACAGAGGGUGCAAACGUUGCUCGGAAUUACUGGGCGUAAAGCGCGUGUAGGCUGACCUUCAAGUCGGACGUGAAAUCCCUGAGCUCAACUCAGGAACUGCAUCCGAAACUGAAGGCCUAGAGUAGUGGAGAGGGAAGCAGAAUUCCUGGUGUAGAGGUGAAAUUCGUAGAUAUUGGCUGGAACACCGGUGGCGAAAGCGGCUCUCUGGCCCGGUUCUGACGCUGAGGCGCGAAAGCGUGGGGAGCGAACAGG